AUUGAACGCUGGCGGCAGGCCUAACACAUGCAAGUCGAGCGGAUGAAGGGAGCUUGCGCCUGGAUUCAGCGGCGGACGGGUGAGUAAUGCCUAGGAAUCUGCCUGGUAGUGGGGGAUAACGUCCGGAAACGGGCGCUAAUACCGCAUACGACCUGAGGGAGAAGGAGGGGGGGCUUCGGACCUCACGCUAUCAGGGGAACCUAGGUCGGGUUAGCUAGUUGGUGGGGUAAGGGCUUACCAAGGCGACGAUCGGUAAGUGGUCUGAGAGGAGGAUCAGUCACACUGGAACUGGGACGCGGUCAAGACUCCUACGGGAGGCAGCAGUGGGGAAUAUUGGACAAUGGGCGAAAGCCUGAUCCAGCCAUGCCGCGUGUGUGAAGAAGGUCUUCGGAUUGUAAAGCACUUUAAGUUGGGAGGAAGGGCAGUAAGUUAAUACCUUGCUGUUUUGACGUUACCAACAGAAUAAGCACCGGCUAACUUCGUG
rnacentral:rRNA from 1 species